GCCGACUAGUCAAGGGGAGGGUCCACGAAGUCAGGGAAGUCAGCCUCAAGAUCCUGCUCCUCGCUAUCGCUCACAUCCACGGGAGGCUGAUAGGUAGGAACGCCCGUCUCUUCCCAGCCGGCCCACUCGUUACGGCUCCGGGGCACGACGGCGCGCGACAGGGGCGGGUAAACAAGCGAACUCAUCUGGCGUCCGUGCACGUAACUUUUCCAGAAACCGCUGCGUUUGGAGUCCGCCAUCAGGGCGGCAUGGUCCCUCUUCAGAUCGGCCAAGCGGUCCUCGAAAGCGGGA
rnacentral:lncRNA from 1 species